GACGAACGCUGGCGGCGUGCUUAACACAUGCAAGUCGAACGGAAAGGCCCUGCUUUUGUGGGGUGCUCGAGUGGCGAACGGGUGAGUAACACGUGAGUAACCUGCCCUUGACUUUGGGAUAACUUCAGGAAACUGGGGCUAAUACCGGAUAGGAGCUCCUGCUGCAUGGUGGGGGUUGGAAAGUUUCGGCGGUUGGGGAUGGACUUGGGGCUUAUCAGCUUGUUGGUGGGGUAGUGGCUUACCAAGGCGUUGACGGGUAGCCGGCCUGUGAGGGGGAUCGGGCACACUGGAACUGAGACGCGGUCCAGACGCCUAAGGGAGGCAGCAGGGGGGAAUGUUGGACAAUGGGCGGAAGCCGGAUCGAGCCAUGCCGCGUGUGUGAAGAAGGUCUUCGGAUUGUAAAGCACUUUAAGUUGGGAGGAAGGGCAGUAAGUUAAUACCUUGCUGUUUUGACGGUACCAACAGAAUAAGCACCGGCUAACUUCGUG
rnacentral:rRNA from 1 species